UCGAUUCGAGCGAAAGCGAGAAAGCGUUGCCGCAGGCAACGACCCGAAGGGCGAAGCGCGCAGCGCUGAGUCAACCUUCCCCCACCACCA
rnacentral:sRNA from 1 species